UACGUAGGGUGCGAGCGUUAAUCGGAAUUACUGGGCGUAAAGAGUGCGUAGGCGGUCCCGCAAGUCCGCUGUGAAAGCCCCGGGCUUAACCUGGGAAUGGCAGUGGAAACUAUGGGACUUGAAUCUGGCAGAGGGGGGUGGAAUGGCCACGUGUAGCAGUGAAAUGCGUAGAGAUGUGGCGGAACACCGAUGGCGAAGGCAGCCCCCUGGGCUGAGAUUGACGCUCAGGCACGAAAGCGUGGGGAGCAAACAGG
rnacentral:rRNA from 1 species